AGCAUCCUCUAAAGGGAAGGAGCUAGCCGAUCACUGAGUGCGUCUCAGGACGAGACGACUGGUUCUACUGCGACGUUGGACAGAGUUGUGCUGUGCAGCAGUAGAGGUUUAUCUGUACUUCUUGUUUAGGUUUGUUAUAGUAUGCAUGACCCUAUAUGGAUCCACUAGACUUGACCUUAUAUGUGGUUCUUGUAUUUAUAUUUUCGGGUUGUAUCUUAAAACCCUGGUUUGUGCUGUAAUUGUUGCUACUUGUGUUUAGGUUCCCUAGUACUGGGGAACCCUAUUGUGAUAUUUUAUUAUGUUGUCUUCUAGUUA